rnacentral:rRNA from 1 species
GAUCAAGUGUCUUAAGGGCAAUUGGUGGAUGCCUUGGCAUGCACAGGCGAUGAAGGACGUGAUACGCUGCGAUAAGCUACGGGGAGGUGCGAAUACCCUUUGAUCCGUAGAUUUCCGAAUGGGGAAACCCACCUAAGGUACUUGGAAAAUCAGAGAUGCAGGGCGACCUGCAUCUGUGGUUUCCAAGUAUCGCUAAUAGGUAACUUAUCCUGAAUCCAUAGGGAUAAAGUGGCGAACGCGGGGAACUGAAACAUCUAAGUACCCGUAGGAAAGGACAUCAACCGAGACUCCGGAAGUAGUGGCGAGCGAACCCGGACCAGGCCAGUGGCGAUUGAGAGACAAGCGGAACCUUCUGGAAAGUAGGGCCAUAGCGGGUGACAGCCCCGUACGCGUAAUGCGAUCAAUCGUCCUCGAGUAAGGCGGGACACGUGAAAUCCUGUCUGAAAUUGGGAGGACCACCUUCCAAGCCUAAGUACUCGUGCAUGACCGAUAGCGAACUAGUACCGUGAGGGAAAGGUGAAAAGCACCCCGACAAGGGGAGUGAAAGAGUACCUGAAACCGAUUGCCUACAAACAGUGGGAG